rnacentral:rRNA from 1 species
CGCUGGCGGCACGCCUAACACAUGCAAGUCGAACGGAGUAGCAAUACUUAGUGGCAGACGGGUGAGUAACAUGUAGGUAUCUGCCCUUUGGCCUGGAAUAACACGAGGAAACUUGUGCUAAUACCGGAUAAGUCUUUACGGAGAAAGCUUUAUGCACCAUUGGAUGAGCCUGCACUUGAUUAGUUUGUUGGUGGGGUAAUGGCCUACCAAGACUUUGAUCAAUAGCUGAUUUGAGAGGAUGAUCAGCCACAUUGGGACUGAGACACGGCCCAAACUCCUACGGGAGGCAGCAGUGGGGAAUCUUGCACAAUGGAGGAAACUCUGAUGCAGCGAUGCCGCGUGAGUGAAGAAGGCCCUUGGGUUGUAAAGCUCUUUCGUCGGGGAAGAAAAUGACUGUACCCGAAUAAGAAGGUCCGGCUAACUUCGUGCCAGCAGCCGCGGUAAUACGAAGGGACCUAGCGUAGUUCGGAAUUACUGGGCUUAAAGAGUUCGUAGGUGGUUGAAAAAGUUGGUGGUGAAAUCCCAGAGCUUAACUCUGGAACUGCCAUCAAAACUUUUCAGCUAGAGUUUGAUAGAGGAAAGCAGAAUUUCUAGUGUAGAGGUGAAAUUCGUAGAUAUUAGAAAGAAUACCAAUUGCGAAGGCAGCUUUCUGGAUCAUUACUGACACUGAGGAACGAAAGCAUGGGUAGCGAAGAGGAUUAGAUACCCUCGUAGUCCAUGCCGUAAACGAUGUGUGUUAGACGUUGGAAAUUUAUUUUCAGUGUCGCAGCGAAAGCAAUAAACACACCGCCUGGGGAGUACG